UCGAGUUGAUCUGAUCGGCAGUGUGAACCUAGCUUCAUAUACGUUCGUUACUAAGUCUUAAUGAUCGGGAAUGGUCGGUAUUGGUCAGCCAAGUACUCUUGAUAGUUAGAUGCAUUCGUGUUGUUCGUAAUACUCAGCCGAUUUUCUCUAGUUGGCUUACAAUCGCGACUAUCAAAUUCGGAACAAUGUCAGACAUCGGUUCACUGUCUGAUAUUCUUUGAUCGAACUCGAGAGAAGAGACAGAUUAAUUCAUUUUUUUUUAUCAUGCAAUACUUACAAAUCAGAAUAGAAUCGGAUUCAAACGGGAGUGAUUGGGACGCAGACGUUUUACAAUAUCUUAUUGUUGUCUUGAUUAAAUAAAAUGUUUUUACAAACUUAAAGCCAUGAAUCGCCGGAUCUUUUCCGAACUUUGACAAAUUUUAUUAAAGCACAAACACUGAUUUCAAAUUGAAAUACACACUUACCGGUUUUCAUCCAACUAAAUCAUCACGAACAUGAGGUUAAAAAAAUAAUGACCUAAUUUCAAACAUCAAAUCUCAAGAAACGUGUAAAACUAAG
rnacentral:lncRNA from 1 species